UUGUUAGAUCAUUACUUCAUCUCAUGUUCCCUUUGUUUACUAGCUUCCAGUAUUCUUCAUUGUUUACCUCCUCUUGCUCCCCGUGGUUCCCUUUGGUUUUCAUUUGGACACUUUGGAUUUUAUUUUUCUUGGACAUUUAGAGUUGGAGUAAUUCCUGCUGUGUUCUCACAUCCUCAACUUCACAUAGACAUCUUACUUGAGGGCCUGCAGGUUUUGGCUGUUCACAUUCAUGCAUGCAGCUCACCCCGGGGUAGCAGUCUAAGCAAAUCGACCCAGACAUCCCUUUCCUCAGCAAUGUUUUUCAACUCAUCCAGUGGAAUCCAGAGGCAUUCCCAGGCCAGAUGGGAUGUGUAGUCCCGCAACCAAGUUCUUGGUCUGCCCUGAGGCCUCGGUCCAGGCAAUCACGCCAGGAGUGCCUGCAAAGGGAGGCGUCCUGGAGGCAUCCUUAUCUAAAGCCCAAACCACCUCAGCUGACUCCUUUGGAUUCGAAGGAGCAGCAGCUCUUCUCCAAGCUCCCUCCUGAUGCCCAAACCCAGCACAGCCACCGUUAUGACCAUUGAAAUCAAUGCCAACUUUCUUGAUUGGUAAAUACCCUUGCGGAUGCAUUUUCCUGCAAAUACAGGUGCCCUUGGUGCAACCAAUUACAACAAAACUGUGGUGUUGUCUUGGUGCAUUGUUUUAAAUUCAAGUGUUGCCAAA